rnacentral:tRNA from 1 species
GUAGCUCAGUUGGUUAGAGCACCCGUUUAGUAAGCGGGAGGUCUUGAGUUCACUUAAC